GAAAAUAUGCCCCAAGAAGACAAAUUACAAGAAGAAAUGGCCAAAAGAGCCAAAGAUAGAACCGAUUCGGAUGCAUGGGCUCGAAUUACAGCCUACUUAGCCGAAAAACAAGAAAAGAUGGUCGAAGAGGCUAAGUUACAUGAUGAAAGUCUGUCAUUGAAUAUAUUUAGUCAAAGAAUUGAAGCAUAACAAGUGAAAGUCGAGCCAAAAUGAAGAAGAAUGAG
rnacentral:lncRNA from 1 species